UACGAAGGGGCUAGCGUUGCUCGGAAUCACUGGGCGUAAAGCGCACGUAGGCGGAUUGCUAAGUCAGGGUGAAUCCUGGAGCUCAACUCCAGAACUGCCUUGAUACUGGCGACCUUGAGUCCGGAGAGGUGAGUGAACUGCGAGUGUAGAGUGAAUUCGUAGAUAUUCGCAAGAACACCAGUGGCGAAGGCGGCUCACUGCCGUACUCGACGCUGAGGUGCGAAGCGUGGGAGCAAACAG
rnacentral:rRNA from 1 species